CUCAAAGGGGUCUCCUUCACUGAAGUCCAAGGAGAUGAUGAGGUCGACCUUCCUCGAUGUGCGCAGGACGGGGGGGUAGGGAGAGUUCAACUUUAACCCAGCGUCUACCAGAGCUCCACCUUCAAACUUGCUCCCAAGACAGGAAGUGGGGAUGAAAGCGCCCAAUCCGGAGAAGCCACUCUCGUAGGGGGUCAUCUCAAACCACACCCCUACAGAAAAUUGAUUUCAAUGGUAUUCACAAAUGACGUGGAUUUAAGCCUCCUCAUCAUAAACUCCACAAACAGCUGAUUUGCCUGCUUCAACAUGGCAUCACACUGCUUCCUCCAUUCCUGAAGAGGGUGGCUUGAAGCAUCAUCGUCAAAAGCCCCACAAACCCCGUUGCCUGCUUCAACAUGCCAUCACACUGCUUCCUCCAUUCCUGAAGAGGGUGGCUUGAAGCAUUAUCACAACCUCCACAAGCCCUGCUGAUUCAACUCUGGUUUACAUCACAUGAAGUGCAGCCUAGCAGUGACCUGCUCAAAGCGUUCCAGGACUCUGCACUCCUCCUCCACCACCUCCAAUUCCUCUUGGGUCAGAGCAUCAACAGGUGCAUUGACAAUGGCCAGGGUAGAGAUGAUGGCAUCCUUUGACUCAAGAAACCGCUUCAACAUAUAAAAUGCUGAAUUCCACCUUGUAGUGCAGUCUUGUUUAGGCCUUUGCUCAGGCAUCCCCAUUUGGCAUUGUGUAGACUUCAGUUUUUCAGCACCUACUGUGCUCCUGUGGAUGUAUUCCACAGCUGCUUUCACUUAGUCCAUAGUGGGCCUCAUACAGUUGUGGAAUAAGUGAUUUUGAAAGGAUUUUCCUGCUUGGAAUUGUGUACAUUGGAUUUAGACUAUUGCUAUCAUUUCUAAAACCUCUGUCCUCCACGAUCGAAAAUGGCUGGAAAUCUGUGGCAAUUAUUUUAGCCAAUGCAAUAUCAAUGUGGCAUUGUUUUGCUACAGACAUAGACUUUGGCAUAAAUUGGUCCAUAGAAGACUGCGUUGCUGUGGGUUGCGGAUUAGGCCUACUUGACUGAGUGGAUACAUCUCCACGUGUGGAGGUGCUGACUCCACCACUAUCACUAGCAGGCCGCUAGUUUCUGGAAGCUCUGCUACAGCUAGCUUCACAGUUGGGUGCACAGUUCCCAUAUGCCGGUGUAGGUUGUGCGUAGAACCAGCUUUAUAUCAGAUUUUGUUUUG